UGCCAGUGGGUGCAGAGCACCCACUAAUUUUUCCCCAUGGGUGCUCCAGCCCCAGAACAUCCAUGGAGUUGGUGACUAUGCUUUGGGGUCACGGUGGGGAGCCUCUGACCUGGGUGAUGCUGGAUGGUCAGAAUGGUCCCUCCUGGCUGUGACCUCCGUGGGUCUAAGAACGUUUAAUUUUCAGUAACACCCCCGGUCUCAUGGGCCGUUUUCAGCUACUUCAAGCCAGCCAGCUGCCAGUCCCAAGGGCCCUUCCUGCUUGCUUAGCAUCGGAGUGACUCGAUGAGACCAUUGGCUGGGAGGAUCAGUAACACUUUGUGUUCCAGCAAUACCACUGGAAAUCCUGAGACUCCCGAGACUCUUUCUGCGCUUGCUGGAGACCGCCCCCCUCACCUCCUGAUUAAGUCCAGUUUCAGAAAGGCAUGAUCUGCUGAAGCCACAGCAAGGCACAGUGCUGUGCAAGACAGGGCUGGGAGCUGGGUUGCUGCAGUUGGUGCUUCACGCUGCAGUUAAGAGCCCGCUCUCUCUCUCUGUGGCACUUAUCUGGCUGCCAUGGUGUCAGAGCCUCACAGUCUUCAAUGCAUUUAUCCUCACAUACCCUGUGAAUAAGGCAGUGCUGUUAUCCCCAUCGUACAGACACUGAGGGCCAGAGAGACUCAGUGACUCAUCCAACCAGUGAAUGGCUGAGCCAGAAACUGAACUUCAAUUUCCUGAGCCCAAGGCUGGUACCCCGACCACUCACCAUCCAUCCCCUGGUGGCUGUUUUCUACCAGGUACAUUUCCAAGCCUCUUUGCAAGAGAAGAAGAAACUGAACGUUUUAAAAAAAUGAAAGUCAAGCUUCUUCUUUAUGUUCCCAGGCCCAGAUUUUCCAAGGUAUUUAAGGUAUUGAAAUCAGUGGGAGUUAGGCGCCUAAAUACCAUGGAGGAUCUGGGUCCCAGGCCCUGUACAUUAGGGAAGUCCUUAGCCAUGGGCUUCCUUGGGCUGCAAAGGCUGGAAGAGUGAGAGAGAGAGAUGAAUCUGGAGGAGGCAGGAUGCUGGACUGGCUGGGCAAAGAUCUGGCUUGGCAUGGAAAAUCCUCACUAAGAGGCAGACCUUUAAUUGAUUUGUGUUUUCUCUCCCUUUAGGAUGUGAAAAGCACGUUGAUCAGGAGCCACAGUGUGAAGCUUCAGGAGCCAGAGGCCGUUCACACGGAGCUACAGGAUUCCUAUGAGGUCCCCAGGGUGAUAGAAACACUGCAGAAAUACGGAAGUAAAGGAGGGCAGAUACAAAGGGGGCAACCAGGAGCUGGGCAUGGCAGUCUAUGGCAAGGGAAUGCAGGGGAGCUCAGGGGGCUGUGUGAUUUGGGGUUCGUGGACAGGGGUGAAAGUAAAAUUGAUCUCUUCCGAUUAUGGGGGGGGGGAGGGCGGGCGUGGCUUCGGCCCCCACCAGAAGGGCUGGGGCCUUGGGCAGAAGGGGUGGGCCUGGGGCUCAGCAUCCCCCAGCCCAUCUGCGCUGCCUGGCCUGCACUGACCGGGGCUCCGGCCACUGAUGUGGAGCCCUGGGCCCUUUUAAAUCGCCAGCCCCGGGGCAGCUGCUCCUUUUGUGCCCCCCUCCCCCCGCCGUCGGUGGCCCAGGGGGAUGGAAAAGGGGAGACGACAUUAAAGUGUUGCCACGGCAGCGCUUUAAGCAGGGUCCUUUGCCGCGGCAGCGCUUUAACGUCGCUGCCCCUUUUGUGUCCCCCUCCCCCCCCCCCCGUUGGCAGUCCUGAUGGGGGGGCGCAAAAGGGGCCACCAAUGGGGGUGCAAAAGGGGCAGCAACAUUAAAGCGCUGCCAUGGCAGCGCUUUAAGCAGGGUCCAUUAAAGUGGUGCCAUGGCAGUGCUUUAAAGUCAGCUGUAAGGGCUGGUACCGGCAGUCACUUUUUACCGGUGUGCCGUACCGGCCCUACCGCCUUACUUUCACCCCUGCUCAUGGGUCUCUGGGUCAAAGGCUUGAGCCCCCAGAACAAAAUGCUCAGGUGCAGGUUUAUUUAGUGUGUCGAUGAAAGGGGCAGAGGCCCCGGGGAGGAAAUACAGGGCCAGAGAAGAACCACAAGUGCCAAGCACAGAAGUGUGUCUGUGUGUGAGUGAGAGCAUGUGUGCUUGUGGGUGUGACUGCAUAUAUGAGUCUGUGUGUGUGUUUGUGUGUGUGUGUGUAUGUGUGUGUGUAUUAGACAGAUGUGUAGCUCAUCAGCUCUGCUCGCAAGGGCCUGUGUGCAUCUCCUAGAUCUGCCUGCAGUUUUAUGCUUGGACAGAGCCCCAAAUCCAGAGCAAAACCAUCAUGAUUUGCCUGGAUCCAGGGCCAAUCUGGGUUCCCCCACCUACCUCAGCCAGGGAUUUUUAGAGAAGAAGCUCCUAAGCCCAGGAGACAUAGGGCUGAUUAGCCCCUACCAGAGACAGGAGGCACAACAGUGUCCUUUGUGUAGUAGCUGAGGUCCCAGGUGCAGACCCCUCACUGCCCAAUGCAGCCCUCCUGCCCAGAAACCAAUCCAGCUGUGCUGUGUGGAAUCCCCUGUGUAGAUGCCCGGCUGGUGGGUCAUUCUCACAUGCUCAGAGUCACAAUUUGGCGAUUUGGGAUUGAGGAGGAUUUUGCCCACAUCAGACUGGCAGAUACCUGAUGGGUGGGGCAGGUGUUCACCUUCCUCUGCAGCAGGGAGCAGGGAUCACCUGCUGGGAUCAUCUGGGCAGAUCCUACUUAAUUAAUUUCCUGCCCUGGCAGGGACCUUGGGCAUUGGCAGCACCUCGGUCUCUUCUCUUCUCUGCCUGUGGCCCACAACAAUGGAGUCUCCUGGGGACUGGAAUGCUUUGGUCUGACUGAAAUCAUUGGGCUGUUUUAGACAUGUUCUUACUGUCCAAACUGAGAAAUAAAAUCUCCCUUUGUAUAAACA